CACGUCACAGCGGGAGAGCCGGCUCGAGCCGGCACCGAAGGAGCAAUCCUCCCCGAUAAUCUCUCAGGUCCUCGUACCGCUGUGACCAG
rnacentral:ncRNA from 1 species